rnacentral:rRNA from 1 species
UACGUAGGGUGCGAGCGUUGUCCGGAAUUAUUGGGCGUAAAGAGCUCGUAGGCGGUUUGUUGCGUCGGCCGUGAAAACCCGCGGCUCAACCGUGUGGUCUGCAGUCGAUACGGGCAGGCUAGAGUUCGGUAGGGGAGACUGGAAUUCCUGGUGUAGCGGUGAAAUGCGCAGAUAUCAGGAGGAACACCGGUGGCGAAGGCGGGUCUCUGGGCAGACACUGACGCUGAGACGCGAAAGCAUGGGGAGCAAACAGG